rnacentral:lncRNA from 1 species
UCUGGAGCUGAGACACUCAUCUUCUCCUGCCCUGGCACAUCAAAACUCCAGGUUCUCUGAUCUUUGAACACUGGGACUUAAUCCAGCAUCCCCUUACUGCCUGAAGUUCUCAGGACUUUGGACUUGGACUGAACGAUGCUACCAGCUUCCCUGGCUUUCCAGCUUGUAGAUGGCGUAUCAUGGAAUUUCUCAGUCUCCAAAGUAAUAAAUUUGUAAAUUUUCACAAGCAAGAAUCUUCUUCUACUUCUUUAACCUCACAAUGCAUAGAACAAGCAACCAAGAACCACAAAAAUCACUGGCCACUGACAAAUGACACUUCAAGAGGAAUACAGGCUUAAUAGCUGCGAACACAGGUUCGUUGAACAAAUGAAUAAUUUUGAAUGAUUCUUGCAUCUCCAUUUGGUAUUGUCCUUCCUUUUUCUUCUUUUUUCUUUCACUUCUACCCACCUACCAACCUCACAAAGUGUCCAGUACCUCACCCUAGAAUAGGUGAUACCUCUAGGAUACCUCACCAUAGAAUUCUGACUAGAAUUAACCCUACACAGUCAGCUCUAUAACUGUAGAGUAUUACCCACACCACCAAAAUAUUCUUCAUCAGAAUGUCCUGAGUUUGAUACAGUAAUCCAUGCUUAUAUGUCAAUGGAUGCUCCCCUCCUGGAUCAAAUAAGGUAGGUUUCAUAGGAAGAGAGACAAUAGAGCUUUAAACAAAUGGAGUUGACUUACAAAAAUUUUAACGUCCAAUGCAGCCAGUGAGGGAGAUCCUUUGAGGCAUUUAGGAACCUGUAGCAAUCUUUAAAUCAUAACAGAAUAGAAAAGAAGACCUACGAAUAGAAUAGGCUUACUAUAUUGAAUAAUAUGUAAAUUCAUAUACCUUUCACCAUACCUUGCCUUCUUACCUUCUAUCCUCCAAAUUUGUCAAACUGAAGACAUUAAAGUUGGUAAAUAUAUUUAUGACAAUUAGUCUUACUACUAUGAUUAACUAGUUUCAGAUUCUGACCAGCGCUUAUAUAACAUAACUCCCCAAUCCUGAAUUUUCUCAUUGUGCUAUUCGUCUGAUUACAAAAGAAAAUAUAUUUUUGUAAAAAUUUAGAAAAUAUAGAAAGUUUAAAUAAGAAAAUGGCAGUAAAUCAAACGCAUAAUCCAAAUAGCCAGAAAGAACCAUUAUUAAUAUCUAGAUAUAUUUCUUCUCAGUCUUUCCCUAAAAACUAUAAUUAUAAAAAUAUAUACACAUAUAAUAUAUACUUGCCUAAUUUAAUCAAUAUCCUAAAAAUAAACGUUUAUCUGUCCUACAUAUGUAACAUAGUUUAUGUAAUAAUUUUCCUGUUCUUAGACAUUUAAAUUAUUUCAAAAUUUUAAUUAUAAGAAACAGUGAGCAAAACAUGAUGAUAUAAGAAAUUUUAUUAUCAUCUCUACUUAUUUCCAUAAAAAAUCCUGUAAAUGCAACUAUUGGGUAACAGAAUAUAAAUAUUUCAAGACUUCUCAUAGUUUACUAAAAUUACACUCAAACAGUAGAAAUAGUAAAUAUGUGGGUAAGUAUAUAAAUAACAA